rnacentral:rRNA from 1 species
UACGUAGGGUGCGAGCGUUGUCCGGAAUUAUUGGGCGUAAAGGGCUCGUAGGCGGUUUGUCGCGUCGGGAGUGAAAACUCAGGGCUUAACCCUGAGCCUGCUUCCGAUACGGGCAGACUAGAGGUAUGCAGGGGAGAACGGAAUUCCUGGCGUAGCGGUGAAAUGCGCAGAUAUCAGGAGGAACACCGGUGGCGAAGGCGGUUCUCUGGGCAUUACCUGACGCUGAGGAGCGAAAGUGUGGGGAGCGAACAGG